GAUGAAGAACGUAGCGAAAUGCGAUACGUAAUGUGAAUUGCAGAAUUCAGUGAAUCAUCGAGUCUUUGAACGCACAUUGCGCCCCCUGGUAUUCCGGGGGGCAUGCCUGUCCGAGCGUCAUUGCUGCCCUCAAGCACGGCUUGUGUGUUGGGCCCCCGCCCCCCGGUUCCCGGGGGGCGGGCCCGAAAGGCAGCGGCGGCACCGCGUCCGGUCCUCGAGCGUAUGGGGCUUCGUCACCCGCUCCGUAGGCCCGGCCGGCGCUUGCCGACACAUCAAUCUUUUUUCCAGGUUGACCUCGGAUCAGGUAGGGAUACCCGCUGAACUUAAGCAUAUCAAUAAGCGGAGGA
rnacentral:misc_RNA from 1 species